CAAACAAUUAUCAAUACAUCAUGGGCCAAGGAUAUAGCUCAGUGGUGCAGCACUUGCCUGGCAUGCAGGAGGUCCUGAGUUUGAUUCCCAAUACACACACACACACACACACACACACACACACACACACACAGACACACACCCACACAUGCACAAUCAUACAUGAUGACCAAGUAUAAUUCAUCCUAGGGAUGCAGGAAUAUACAUAAUGGAGUACUAUAUUGUAAAGAUAAGCUUGAGUCAUUUGUAGGAAAAUGAAUGAGCCUUGAGAACAUGAUACUAAGUGAAAUAAAUCAGACACACAAGCUUAAUGAUCACAUGGUUUCUCUUAUACAAGGAACUCAAAAUAAAAUAAGGUUCAAAAUAAAAGAUCAUUAGAAGUAGGGAGACAGAUCUUUUGCAAAUGGAAAGUGGACCAAGAGAUGGAAGGAGCAGAGGAAGGAAAGUGAGGAAGAGAAUAAAAACAGAAAUAGAAUGUGUUAUGCACAUGCAUCAACUCCCUAUGAGGAAUGUGAUCAUUAUAUGCUACGAAUGUGUACUAAUAAAAACAAAAAAUUGAGAAGAAAGUAUUUCGUGAAGAUUUUUGCAUCUAUGUUGGUGAGAGAUACUGGUUUGCAGUUUCUUUGAUGCUGGCACUGGGGUAAUGCUGGCCUUGUAGAAGGAGUCAGAGAUACUCAUUCUGCUUCUAUCAUCUGGAUAACAUUGCAGCUAGUAUAAUUUCUUCCUUAAAUACAAAGACGCCACCAGUGAACCCAUUUGGCUAAUAUACUCUGUUUUGAAUUACUGAUCCAAUUUCUUUAUUAGAUGUAAGCCUAUUCAGAUAAUGUAUUUCUUCUUAGUGUAAGUUUUGACAGACUGUGUCUUUCAAGGAAUUGUUCUACUCGAUGUAGGUCAUCAAGUUUUCUGGCAGGGAAUGGUUCUUGAUAUAACUGUAUUAUCCUUCUAUUGUCCAAAGGAUCUGUAGUCUUCUCUUUCAUUGUAGACACUAGUAAUUCAUAUUAUCUCUCUUUUUUUUUUUCUCAGCUUGGCUAUAGGUUUAUUGAUUUUAUUGUUUUUUUUUUUUAAAGACAGCUUUGGUUUUGUUGAUUUUUCUCUAUUAAGUUCCAUUGAUUUAUUCUCUAAUAUUACCUUUAUGAAUGAAAAUCAGUGGUUCUUCAUUGAAACUGCCUACCUGAAUAUUCUCCUGGACUUCACACAUCCCAGACUGAGCUCCUGAUAUCCUGCUGCUCUUUCCACAGCAGCCUUUCCUCUCUUAAAGGAGCUCUCUUCUGGCAGUCACUUUUACCCAUGAUUUUCAGGCCUUCACCGACUUCUCUGUUGUUGUCAUAUUCCCCAGACAACCUGUUUUAAAUCCACUUGUCUUGAUCUUUUCUACACACACACACUUGUCAUUUCUUGUCACAUUCACUGCCACUGUAGUCUAAACCAUCAGCUACCCCUGGGGUUAUAACAGUCCCUUCUGGCUGGUCUCCCUUAUUUUCUCUUUUCAACUGGACAGCCAGAAAACUAUCAUUGAAUCACACUCAGAACACAUCUUCCCUCUGCUUAGAGUCCUCCAGUGGCUUCAUUUAUGAAAUUUUCUUUCCAUCUGUGCAGAAGGCUCUCAGGCCUGAAAGACACAGGGCUCGCCCCUGUGUGUCUAAAAUGUGACCCUGUCCCGCAAUUUUCCUCACCCUUCUUUUCUGCUUUGCUUUUUUUUUUUUUUUUUAUCGGUACCGGGGAUUGAACUCACGACCGCCUGCUUGCAAGGCAGGUGCUUAUGCCGCUGAGCUAAAUCCCCAGCCCUCUGCUUUGCAUUUUACAACACUCAUUACCCCUGACAUGGUAUGUUGUUUUGUAUAUUAUUUGUGUUUAAUAAUAAAUAAUUUUAAAAUUUAAUAAUUUUAAAUUUAAAAAUAAAUAAAUUUGUGUUUAAUAAUAAAUGUGAGCUUCCUGAUAGCAGAGAUUUUUGUUUCCUGAUCAUCGCUAAAUCUCUGGAGCACAGAACAGUGCUAGCUACACAGUAAGGGAUCAGUAAGCAUCUGCUAAAUGAAUGUAAUGAAAACAUGUGAAAGUCCUGUCUUUAAUAUCCACAGCUGUUCCCCAAGCGAUGUUGUCUUUUUGUACCUAUAUAUAAGCAGAUGCUGUAUUUUAAAGUCUUGUAAAUGAGAUUAAAUGAUCUGUCUUGUUCUUUGAUUUGCUUUAUUAUGGCCAGAAGUCAUGUCUUGGUGAUCUGUCUAUUUCAGCAUAAGCUGAUCUACCACGUAAAGAUGGGGUAUUUAAAAAACAGACACCCCCACAUGGGGCAGCAUGGCUAAUGGAAUAAUAAGAGUUUUUUGUCUGGUUAAAUUUUAUGUUUCCCCAGCUUAGACAAGUUGUUAUGGCAUCUUGAACAGACCAGGCAGGUUUUCAUACAAUACCUGUCAUAGUAAACACACUGGGGCUUAGUCAGCCACUGUACUUGGUCCCUGCCACUUAUUUUGCUUUAUGUGUUGUGAGUUAAAACAAUUAGAGUGAGUGAAGAACAAUUCUGAAGGCAGUAGUCAGGUUUUCUGCAGCUCUGUUCCCAUGUCACUGCUUCAAAAGACAAUGAAAGAACAAAGGUUAUUUAAAAUGCUGCCACCCACUGACACAGGGUGUCUAGCUCGAAAAAGAUUUGUUAUGAAGCUGGCUUUGCAAUGUUUCCAGUUGAAAAAACUUAGUUUCACAACUCUGCUUUGAAUCUUAGACCGCAUCCUAUUUGAUUUUCAUUUUGAAUGAGUUAUUUUGACCUUAGGUCAAAAUAUUUAAUGUUCCUAUUCUGGCUCAGAGAGUGAUCUUUAAAUGACAUUGCUGAGGGCGGUGGCAGGAGAGUGGCUCUUUCUGAGAGCUUGGCUGAGUCCACGGGUAACCUGGGGCUGGAUCAGAGGCUGGGAGCAAUCAGGAAAGGAAGGACAGUAGAUGCUAAAUGCCCAAACCAGCAUCACAGCUACAGUCAACACUUGGUAGUCACCAGACUUUGCAUGACAAUCAAAUAUGUCCCAAUAUGUCCCAGUCUUUAAUAUAUGAAGAAUAUUUCAAGGUACAUCUGCCUUGAAAUCAAAAUUAAUCACCAUUUAGUGGCAGGGGUACCUGAAAUUUUAUGUUUUAUGAGUUUUAAGUUAAGACAACUAGUAUGAGUAAAGAAAAUUCUGAAGGCAGUGGUAGUGUUUGCUGCAGCAGGGUUCCCAUGCCGUUGCUUUUAUCCAGAUGCAGAGGUAAAACAACAGGGAAUCUAGAUUCUCAUUAAGUUUUUCAGAGUCCCUUUGUCAAACUAGAGAAAAACAGCUGUCUUACUUCUAAGGUAAGGAAUCCAGUACGGCCACAUGGACCUGCCCUGCCCCUGCCCCUGCCCCUGGCCUGCCAACAGGCACGGGGCGGGAACCUGGAGAGACAAAGAUGGAUGCCUGCUAUUCCCUGGGGACCAGAAGUUGGUUCCAAAUCACACAGUAGGAAGGAGAAAAAGAAGAGGAUACAUAUCAUUUAGGAAUCUGAGGGAAGCACAAACGUACACAAGUAUUUUUGCUCUAAUAAAAACAGGAAUGUAAAUCACGAGUGUAUGGUUUUGACCUCCACAUGCCUGAAGCCCACAAUAACUUGAGGGUUGUUAUGGGGCCAAAGACUCUAACUUGUUUACCUGGACAAUUACAGCCUAGGUUGUCUUGUUCAAGGCUUUCUUAUCCCAUCUGGAGUCACAGGGAAAAGCACAGCAGAAUUCAGGUACACCCCCAUCCUCCACUGACACCACCUACUCCCCAAAGAGACAGAACUACUGGGCAAAUGCCUGAGCAGUGCCAAGGGCCAGGAUGAAGUACAUCCUCCUGAGUGAGCCUAACUCCAACCUAUCUGUCGGCCUCUGCUGGACGACAAUCUAAUCUCCCCAAGUGAACCAUAAUGUUUUAUCUUCCCUGUAAGUCUUUAUGAGGCCUUAGGUUCCCUCAGUGUCACUCUGAAGUGGUGGCAUGCAGGUCAAUGUACCAUUCCUGUCGCUUAUCUGACUGUCUUCUGUAACCGGAUAACUGACCUGAAAAACUCUAACACAAACCUCACGACAGGAAGUAAAAGCCAGGUAAACAGGAAGUUAACAUUUUCUUCACUGGUUAUCAUAUUAAUAAUAUUCAGUCAUAAACAAUCUGCCUUCUAGUAAACAUUUUAUGGUUAGUCACUGUUUAAUGUGAAGAGAGACUCAUAUACAAAUUGAAUACAUUUUAAUUAGCAUUUCAUAAGUAUUCUGAGUCAUAAGUCAAAUGCUCAAACCUCCUUCAAACUGAUAAGAAAAUCCGGGUAUGGUGGUGGGCACCAUAACCUUAGCACUCCGGGAGGCUGGGGUAAAUCUGAGCUGAGGUGGGCAACUCAGUGAGAGCCUGUCUCAGAAGAUAAAAAGGACUGAGAACACAGCUUAGCAUAAGGCAAUGAACUCAAUUUUUACUAGGCGGGAAAAAAGAAUGCUAGGGACAAAACUAUGGAGACAGUUAACUGAUAGGUGGAUUCCAGAGGUUAGGGGAAGAGAAGAUGAAUAGACAACACACAGAAUUAUCCCUAAGAAGGGAUAGUACUCUGUAUAUUAUAAUAAUAGAUUCAAUCAAAAUAUCAAGUUGUACACAUUAGGUAUGCACAAUAAAAAGUAAAUUUUAAAAAAUGGUGGGCUGGGAUUGUACUCCAGUGGUAAAGUGCUUAUACAAUAUGCAUAAAAUCCUGGGUUCAAUUCCUAGCAAUACAAGAAAAAAAAAGUAGAUAGACAUAUGGCAUUACAGAUUUGUUCAGCUUCAUUUAAUAUACAACACUAAAAGUGAAUUCUAACAUAAAUUAUGGUUUUUGAGCAAUAAUGUGUCAAUAUUGGUUCAUCAGUUAUAAUAAAAGUGACACGCUGUUGGGGGACGUUAACAAUGGGAAAUGAAAUGCUGUGUAGGGGCAGAAUACAGAAAAGAUCUACACCUUCCUUUCAGUUGUUACAUCAAACUGUAACAACUCUAGGAAAACAAAAGUCCUUUUUAAGUAAGAGAGUACUAUGGAAAUGAUUUAAUACAUUUCUUAACUGCAAUUCAAACUGGUGCAGAAGCCUUGUGAAUAUAAUUAUGGUUCCAGGUUUGAAACCACAGAGCCUACAAUAUAUGAAAUAUACAAAAAGAAAAUAUACCAGCAAAGCCUUCCGGGGAACACUGGUUACCAUUUUUACUGAGUGAAUACAUUGUGCCAUGUGUUCUAUUAAUAAAUUCACAAAGACUAUCGUAUGACAGACUCUCACUUCAGUAAGAGAGAUGCUGUUACUGUCUGUUUUAUAUAACAAAGGAACUGAAUUUAGAGAGAAUAGGGACAGUCAUGGUUUAUGUUGGUGGCCCCCAGGCCUCAUGCAUUUGCAUUGUGCAUUUAUGACUGGUUCAUUGUCUAGGGCUUGGAUUGGGGGUGUGAGUGCUACACAGGCCUAGGGGUGGAGCCAGGAUGUGAUGUUAUGGCAGGAAAAAGGCGUGUGUCUCUCUCUUGCGGGUUUCCGCCUUGCUGUUUGCAGCUGCCAUGAACUGCGGCCCCACCAUGCCUGCCUGCCUUGGAGCCAACUAAGUAUGGACUGAAACCUCCAAAAACUGUAAGAGGGAGCUGCAGAGUGAGCUGCAAAUGAACUCAUCUCACCACAGAAGCAGGUGCUUUCCCGCCACCAACCCUGGUCAGUGCGUUCAGAUACUGGGUGGAUGAGGACUGAGUGGGAGAUUACACCGUAAACACGGCUCCUGGCCCUUGAUUUCCCCCCUUAAAUUGAAAGAGUUAGGAUAGAUCCUAACAUAGUCAGCUAUGUUAGGAUCUAAGGACGAUCCUCACAUCUUUAUUUCUCUCAUGCUUUUGCCCUCCUCUGGACUCAUAUCUACAAUUAUUCUCUUAUUUACCAAUAUUUUACACACAAAGGUUUGUAUAAACAUUAAUAAUUUUGAAUUUCAAAUACAGAAAGUAUUUAAACAUUUGAGUUGUGAACUUUCACAGAUAAUAAUGGACCUUGCAUGCAUUUACUUAUUUAUUGUUGUUUUUCUGUGUUUUACAUUGUAUAUUUGUGUCAAAGUUGUAUAAGACUCACUUUGUCAAACUUAUGAAUGAAUCCAACUUACAAACAUGCUCUUGGAAUGGAACACAUUCAAAAGCCAGGGACGUAUUGCUUAAGAUUCAAUUUACUGUAAUUUAAAUUAAGAAAGAAUAUGAUUCUCCUCAGAAAUAAUCUUAUGUUUCCUUCAGCCAAGGGGGAAGGUAGCAGAGCUUCUGCUUCGCCUCCUGGAGGGGUGGUUUCUGAGCCGGGCCUUAAAGAAGGGCAGUAUUUCAGUCGGCCUCGUGGUCGUGGAGGAUGUGUUCUUGUGGGAGUGAAUGAACAUGACUCCGGGAAAUGAUGCCUUUGGUGCCUACCAUUUAGUAGCAUGGUAUCUAGACUACACAGCUUGAUAAGCUCUCACGUUGGAUGGAUCUCCCUCUAUUACAGGCCUGCUUCAUGAGGAGGAUCGAGGUUCACCAUGGUGGGAGAGAGACACUGCCAGGUCCAGAGCUGGCUAUUCUGGCAACAGAGGUGGGGUGAGGUUUCAAGAGCAGUCACCAGAGUCCUCAGAUAGCAUAAGGAAGCAAUAACAUAAGCACAGAAGGCAGGAGGUGAGGACACGAUUCCCAGACAGAGGGACCAGGGCCAGAGAUGAUAAAGUAGACCAAGAAGGGAUCCUGAGGAGGUGCAGGUCCAAGACCAUGAACAUCCCUGAACACAUUAGGAAAAACAGCAUACACUAAGCACUUCCUGUGCACAAUUAAUCUUGUAAGCAUAAUUUUUGCACAAACACUAGCUAAGUAAUCACAAAUUCCACAACAGUGAAGAAUACUACUUUAGUAUGAUUUCUGAGCCACUCUGAGUUUUCACAUACUAUAGAAAAAUGACUUUCAGUCAAUAAUAGCUUUUCAGGCAUGUCAACAACAUACUGUAUCACCAAUUACAAAUAAAAUAACUAAAAUAUAUGAGGGUCCAUAAGUCUAAGAGUCAUCCAGGGAUCAUCACAAUAAUCUUCAGAAAAGGAAUAGAUACCAGUUCUCAAAUUAUCCAGGUAAGCACUGAACCUCCGGUAAAAGUGAAGGGAAUCAAGAUUAUUGUCAGUAAAUAUACUCUCUGCUUUACUGAUUUACUUUUGACAGAAGUCUUACUUUAGGAACGGAAGAACAAAUCUCCAAUUACUUUCAGGUUUCUUUUUCUGAGAGCAGAGUGGCCCAGGAUAGGGAGAGCCGUUUUAGCAGCCGCUCACCUGGAAGACAUGUAGGGCUAUGAUCAGUUUACUUUCAGAAGUGAUACAGAUGCUAUAAAAGUCCAGCCAUCUCUGUCACCCAGGUGACAUGCCAAUAAUGUGAGUGAAACCUGCUGGUGGUUUCAGUUCAACUGAGUACUCAGCAGAACAAAGUCUUUGGGCAAUUGAAGACAAUGCCGCGUGCAACAGAAAAACCACCUAGCUGAGCUCAACUGACACAAUGUCAUGGAGAAAAGGCAGUUGUUUUAAGCCACUAGUUUGAAAGUGGUUUGUUAUGCAAUGGUAAGGAA